rnacentral:rRNA from 1 species
GUGUGUUAGUGGAAGCGUCUGGAAAGUCGCACGGUACAGGGUGAUAGUCCCGUACACCAAAAUGCACAGGCUGUGAACUCGAUGAGUAGGGCGGGACACGUGACAUCCUGUCUGAAUAUGGGGGGACCAUCCUCCAAGGCUAAAUACUCCUGACUGACCGAUAGUGAACCAGUACCGUGAGGGAAAGGCGAAAAGAACCCCGGCGAGGGGAGUGAAAUAGAACCUGAAACCGUGUACGUACAAGCAGUGGGAGCACCUUCGUGGUGUGACUGCGUACCUUUUGUAUAAUGGGUCAGCGACUUAUAUUUUGUAGCAAGGUUAACCGAAUAGGGGAGCCGUAGGGAAACCGAGUCUUAACUGGGCGUCUAGUUGCAAGGUAUAGACCCGAAACCCGGUGAUCUAGCCAUGGGCAGGUUGAAGGUUGGGUAACACUAACUGGAGGACCGAACCGACUAAUGUUGAAAAAUUAGCGGAUGACUUGUGGCUGGGGGUGAAAGGCCAAUCAAACCGGGAGAUAGCUGGUUCUCCCCGAAAGCUAUUUAGGUAGCGCCUCGUGAACUCAUCUUCGGGGGUAGAGCACUGUUUCGGCUAGGGGGCCAUCCCGGCUUACCAAACCGAUGCAAACUCCGAAUACCGAAGAAUGUUAUCACGGGAGACACACGGCGGGUGCUAACGUCCGUCGUGAAGAGGGAAACAACCCAGACCGCCAGCUAAGGUCCCAAAGUCAUGGUUAAGUGGGAAACGAUGUGGGAAGGCACAGACAGCCAGGAUGUUGGCUUAGAAGCAGCCAUCAUUUAAAGAAAGCGUAAUAGCUCACUGGUCGAGUCGGCCUGCGCGGAAGAUGUAACGGGGCUAAACCAUGCACCGAAGCUGCGGCAGCGACACUUAGGUGUUGUUGGGUAGGGGAGCGUUCUGUAAGCCGUUGAAGGUGACCUGUGAGGGUUGCUGGAGGUAUCAGAAGUGCGAAUGCUGACAUAAGUAACGAUAAUGCGGGUGAAAAACCCGCACGCCGGAAGACCAAGGGUUCCUGUCCAACGUUAAUCGGGGCAGGGUGAGUCGACCCCUAAGGCGAGGCUGAAAAGCGUAGUCGAUGGGAAACAGGUUAAUAUUCCUGUACUUGGUGUUACUGCGAAGGGGGGACGGAGAAGGCUAGGCUGGCCGGGCGACGGUUGUCCCGGUUUAAGCGUGUAGGGGGAGUGACCAGGUAAAUCCGGUUGCUUAUCAACCCUGAGGCGUGAUGACGAUGCACCACGGUGCAGAAGCAGUUGAUGCCAUGCUUCCAGGAAAAGCCUCUAAGCAUCAGGUAACAUUAAAUCGUACCCCAAACCGACACAGGUGGUCAGGUAGAGAAUACUCAGGCGCUUGAGAGAACUCGGGUGAAGGAACUAGGCAAAAUGGUGCCGUAACUUCGGGAGAAGGCACGCUGGCGUUAGGUGAAAGGACUAGCUCCUGGAGCUGAAGCCAGUCGCAGAUACCAGCUGGCUGCAACUGUUUAAUAAAAACACAGCACUGUGCAAACACGAAAGUGGACGUAUACGGUGUGACGCCUGCCCGGUGCUGGAAGGUUAAUUGAUGGGGUCAGCCGCAAGG